rnacentral:tmRNA from 1 species
GGGGAUGCAUUGCAUCGACGAGAAUGCACUUUAAAAAACAGCAAGCCGACAAUGAUCAAAAGUCGUAAAAUUGAUCAAAUUAUAAAUGCUAGAAAUAGCGUUUCAGCCUUAAGAGCGGAAAGAGAUUUAAUUCUCGCCGAGCUUUUUGGCGUUCGACCAAGUCUUAGGCUAGCAAUAGCUUAAGCUUCAAGAACUGUUUAUAAAGUCUUUUCUCAAUGGGAUUUUAUAAGCAUAAAUACAGUUGAGAGAUGGUGAGGAAAGUUGGUUUCUAUCCUUAUUGUAUUUAUCAACCUUGACGCUAUUUAUUCUUGUUGAUUAGAAAAAAAUAGCGCGACUCAAAAUAAUCAACUAAGCUUGUAGAAGUUUUUGAAGUAAUUUCUUGGACUCGAGCUCACUGCUCGACAUCUCCACAA